GGCAGGCCAUCCGGUCCCGGCGAUUUGCCCGUCUGCGACGUCUUGACUGCAUGCUUGAUCCUCCAAGCGUCUCAUGUCUGCGGAGGUCAUGCAUCUCUGGAUCUCCUAUCGUUUAGUCGUUGGGUCUCUGGGUUGGUCCGCUGCUAUGUUGUAUAGUGAUUCAUUAUAUUGCUGAAAGACCUGUAAUAUCUCAUCCGGGAGGUGGCAUAUGUGUAUCGUUGUAUCCUUGAUCUUGGGAAUGUAUAGUUGGUUCCUCGCUUGUCUUAGUAGGGUUGCUGAUAGGCACCCGCAUUUAUUGCCAUGUUCGGUAAGCAGAUGAUUAGGUUUGUGGUCAGCCAUGCCCUCGACCCCGACCAUUCUGUGGUGACGGAAUCGUUGGUAUGUGCUCUGAAUGGUUUGGUUUAGUAAUGUCGAGAGUUGGCUUCUCUUCGUGAGGAGGUCACUGUAGACUUGUUUAUCCAGUCCGAGUUUGUGCUUCCAUUCCAACUCGUCGAUGGCUUUGGCUAGGGCGGACAUCUCGCCGGUGGCCUCCAGUUUUUUUUCACUGAACAUUGUGUUAUAAAGUGGGCUCGGAUUACUGUCUUGUGUGCCUCCCAGCAGUUCAGUG